rnacentral:rRNA from 1 species
UACGUAGGUGGCAAGCGUUAUCCGGAUUUACUGGGUGUAAAGGGAGCGUAGGCGGCCUGGCAAGCCUGAUGUGAAAUACCGGGGCCCAACCCCGGGGCUGCAUUGGGAACUGCCAGGCUGGAGUGCCGGAGAGGCAGGCGGAAUUCCUAGUGUAGCGGUGAAAUGCGUAGAUAUUAGGAGGAACACCAGUGGCGAAGGCGGCCUGCUGGACGGUGACUGACGCUGAGGCUCGAAAGCGUGGGGAGCAAACAGG